rnacentral:rRNA from 1 species
AUUGAACGCUGGCGGCAGGCCUAACACAUGCAAGUCGAACGAGUGGCGGACGGGUGAGUAAUGUCUGGGAAACUGCCCGAUGGAGGGGGAUAACUACUGGAAACGGUAGCUAAUAACGCAUACCAUUGGAUGUGCACAGAUGGGAUUAGCUGGUAGGUGGGGUAACGGCUCACCUAGGCGACGAUCCCUCGCGGGUCUGAGAGGAUGACCAGCCACACUGGAACUGAGCCACGGCCCAGACUCCUACGGGAGGCAGCAGUGGGGAAUAUUGCACAAUGGUCGCAAGCCUGAUGCAGCCAUGCCGCGUGUAUGAAGAAGGCCUUCGGGUUGUAAAGUACUUUCAGCGAGGAGGCGUUACUCGCAGAAGAAGCACCGGCUAACUCCGUGCCAGCAGCCGCGGUAAUUC